UACGAAGGGGGCUAGCGUUGUUCGGAAUUACUGGGCGUAAAGCGUGCGCAGGCGGCUUCUCAAGUCAGGGGUGAAAGCCCAGAGCUCAACUCUGGAAUUGCCUUUGAGACUGAGUGGCUUGAGUACGGGAGAGGUGAGUGGAAUUCCCAGUGAUAGAGGUGAAAUUCGUAGAUAUUGGGAAGAACACCGGUGGCGAAGGCGGCUCCACUGGCCCGUAA
rnacentral:rRNA from 1 species